rnacentral:rRNA from 1 species
GAUCCCCUACGGGGGGCAGCAGUGGGGAAUAUUGGGCAAUGGGCGCAAGCCUGACCCAGCAACGCCGCGUGAAGGAAGAAGGCUUUCGGGUUGUAAACUUCUUUUCUCAGGGACGAAGAAAGUGACGGUACCUGAGGAAUAAGCCACGGCUAACUACGUGCCAGCAGCCGCGGUAAUACGGAGGAUGCGAGCGUUAUUCGGAUUUAUUGGGUUUAAAGGGUGCGUAGGCGGACUGGAAAGUCAGCGGUAAAAUCGAGAGGCUCAACCUCUUUCCGCCGUUGAAACUGUCGGUCUUGAGUGGGCGG